rnacentral:rRNA from 1 species
CGUAAACGAUGGGUACUAGGUGUAGGAGGUAUCGACCCCUUCUGUGCCGUCGUUAACACAAUAAGUACCCCGCCUGGGGAGUACGGUCGCAAGACUAAAACUCAAAGGAAUUGACGGGGGCCCGCACAAGCAGCGGAGCAUGUGGUUUAAUUCGAAGCAACGCGAAGAACCUUACCUAGACUUGACAUCUCCUGAAUUACCCUUAACCGGGGAAGCCCUUCGGGGCAGGAAGACAGGUGGUGCAUGGUUGUCGUCAGCUCGUGUCGUGAGAUGUUGGGUUAAGUCCCGCAACGAGCGCAACCCUUAUUUUUAGUUGCUACCAUUAGGUUGAGCACUCUAAAGAGACUGCCCGGGUUAACCGGGAGGAAGGUGGGGAUGACGUCAAAUCAUCAUGCCCCUUAUGUCUAGGGCUACACACGUGCUACAAUGGUGAGAACAAAGAGACGCAAGACCGCGAGGUGGAGCAAAUCUCACAAAACUCAUCCCAGUUCGGAUUGCAGGCUGAAACUCGCCUGCAUGAAGCCGGAGUUGCUAGUAAUCGCGAAUCAGCAUGUCGCGGUGAAUACGUUCCCGGGCCUUGUACACACCGCCCGUCACACCAUGAGAGUUGGCAAUACCCGAAGUCCGUGGGGCAACCGUUUACGGAGCCAGCGGCCGAAGGUAGGGUCAGCGAUUGGGGUGAAGUCGUAACAAGGUAACC